UAGUCCUACGGGGCGCAGCAGUGGGGAAUAUUGGGCAAUGGACGCAAGUCUGACCCAGCAACGCCGCGUGAAGGAAGAAGGCUUUCGGAUUGUAAACCUCUGUGGAGGGGGACGAUAAUGACGGUACCCCUUUAGGAAGCCACGGCUAACUACGUGCCAGCAGCCGCGGUAAUACGUAGGUGGCGAGCGUUGUCCGGAAUUACUGGGUGUAAAGGGAGUGUAGGCGGGAAAGCAAGUCAGAAGUGAAAACUAUGGGCUUAA
rnacentral:rRNA from 1 species